GCGGGGGCGCGCAGGCCGCCCGCGUGUGCGGGGCUGCGGGAGCGCGCCCGGACCGGCGGGGGCGCGCGGGCCGCCCGGCUACCCGAGAACCGCAGCCCGGCCGCCGGCGUCCUCGGUUACCAGGAGUUUCGGGGCCGGAGUGCGGUGGGUGCCGGCGCCUGGCGUCACCGCUGCCCGCCGGCCCGGACCGCCCCUUCCGGGGCCCGUUUGGGAAAUGGGGGGAGGGGAGCCCCGCAGAAAGGCCCCGAACGUCGGCCCCAGCCACCCUGUUAGUGCCCCUCUUCCCGCAGGUUCCCUUCUCCGUGUCCUCUCGAGUUUUGUCCUCAUUUAUUUGCUUUCCACGUUCCUCUCCUUUUCAGGGCCCCAUUUGCUCCCGCCUUUUCUGUUUCCAUCCAUCCACCUGCCUUUAGACCUCUCUCCUCAUUUCCUUGCACCCCCGGACAUUCUCGGUGGUGGUGGGGAGGGGCGCAGUAGAAAGGUACCGGUGGGCGUCGGGCGCCCCCUCGCGGCCCACUUGUCCCGGCCUGGCCUCCGGCCUGGGAGGGGACCGGCCACUCGCCACCCCCCAGCCCCCACCCCCUACCCGCCCAGGUCUGGGGUUCAGGUUCUGGGUUAGCGGGAGCCGCGCGCCCCCAGCGGCACAGUCACAUCCUCAAAACCCACUCUCCGGGUUCUGGAAAGUGGAAAGCGGCCUCCAGAAAAAGGGACCUUGAGACUGAAGAUUCUUUUCCCUUAUGGGUUAUUACAAGAUAUUGAGUAGAGUUCCCUGUGCUAUACACUGUGAAGAACGAUUGCUUCAUGCCUGCCUUUGAUCUGCCUUCGGCAAGGCUCCCGUGUCCUGGUCACUCCUCGCUCCAGCUCUUGCCUGUGAGGUCCUUCUUCUUGGCGUGGCCGCUGAACAGGCUCCGCUGGAAGGACUGUGGUCCAGCCUUCCAGCCCUCCCUUUCCAAGCUCACUUUGCCUCAGUCCCUCAAGCAGGCAUGGAUCCCCAAGUGAUGUCCCAGCCUUUUUGAGGACCUUCAUUCAAACCAGUUUACUCUGGGGACAUUCAAUUUGCAGUUGUGAAAAUAAUGUUAAAGCUCACCUGAAAAAAAUAAACAAAAUUAGAAUAUCUAAGAAGUUUUUAUUGAUUAAAAAAAAAAGGCCAAGAAGGAAGGGUAUGUCCACCAAAAAUUAAAUUAAAUAUAAUUAAGUCAUAAAGCUACAUUACCUUAGCUGGUUUGGUACUGGUGCUGACCUAGGUAAAAGCAGUUCAUUUGAAUAGAAUAUACCCCACAUAUCUAUGGGGAGUUAUUUAUGAUAUAGGUGGCAUUUCAAACCAGUGGUUGAGUAAUUAUUGAAAAAAAUGAUAUUGGGACAGUUGGGUAUCCAUCCAGGAAAAUAUGCAGAUGGCUCAAUGUUGUAAACAUUAAAAAAAAAAAACGAAGAAAAAAGAAGAAAUUAGUAGGAAAAAAACAGGAGCGUUUAAAAAAAAAAAAGAAAGAAAGGGCUUCCUUGGUGGCACAGUGGUUAAGAAUCCGCCUGCCAGUGCAGGAGACAUGGGUUCGAGCCCUGGUCCGGGAAGAUCCCACAUGCCACGGAGGAACUAAGCCCACGUGCCACAACUACUGAGCCUGCACCCUAGAGCCCGUGAGCCACAACUGCUGAGCCUGCGUGCCACAACUACUGAAGCCCGCGUGCCUAGAGCCUGUGCUCUGCAACAAGAGAAGCCACCACCAUGAGAAGCCCGUGCAUCGCAAUGAAGAGUAGCCCCCACUCGCUGCAACUAGAGAAAAGCCCGCGUGCAGCAACGAAGACUCAACGCAGCCAAAAAUAAAU